AAUUGAAGAGUUUGAUCAUGGCUCAGAUUGAACGCUGGCGGCAGGCCUAACACAUGCAAGUCGAACGGUAACAGGAAGCAGCUUGCUGCUUUGCUGACGAGUGGCGGACGGGUGAGUAAUGUCUGGGAAACUGCCUGAUGGAGGGGGAUAACUACUGGAAACGGUGGCUAAUACCGCAUAACGUCGCAAGACCAAAGAGGGGGACCUUCGGGCCUCUUGCCAUCAGAUGUGCCCAGAUGGGAUUAGCUUGUUGGUGAGGUAACGGCUCACCAAGGCGACGAUCCCUAGCUGGUCUGAGAGGAUGACCAGCCACACUGGAACUGAGACACGGUCCAGACUCCUACGGGAGGCAGCAGUGGGGAAUAUUGCACAAUGGGCGCAAGCCUGAUGCAGCCAUGCCGCGUGUAUGAAGAAGGCCUUCGGGUUGUAAAGUACUUUCAGCGGGGAGGAAGGUGUUGUGGUUAAUAACCACAGCAAUUGACGUUACCCGCAGAAGAAGCACCGGCUAACUCCGUGCCAGCAGCCGCGGUAAUACGGAGGGUGCAAGCGUUAAUCGGAAUUACUGGGCGUAAAGCGCACGCAGGCGGUCUGUCAAGUCGGAUGUGAAAUCCCCGGGCUCAACCUGGGAACUGCAUUCGAAACUGGCA
rnacentral:rRNA from 2 species